GACGAACGCUGGCGGCGUGCUUAACACAUGCAAGUCGAACGGAAAGGCCCUGCUUUUGUGGGGUGCUCGAGUGGCGAACGGGUGAGUAACACGUGAGUAACCUGCCCUUGACUUUGGGAUAACUUCAGGAAACUGGGGCUAAUACCGGAUAGGAGCUCCUGCUGCAUGGUGGGGGUUGGAAAGUUUCGGCGGUGGGGGAUGGACUCGCGGCUUAUCAGCUUGUUGGUGGGGUAGUGGCUUACCGAGGCUUUGACGGGUAGCCGGCCUGAGGGGGUGACCGGCCCCUUUGGGGCUGGGCUCCGCCCCAGCCCCCUACGGGGGGAAGCAGUGGGGAAUUUUGCAAAAGGGGCGGAAGCCUGAGGCAGCAACGCCGGGGGGGGGAUGAGGGCCUUGGGGUUGUAAACCGCUUUCGCCUGGGACGAAGGGUGGGUGACGGUAAGGGGUAAAGAAGCCCCGGCUAACUACG
rnacentral:rRNA from 1 species